rnacentral:rRNA from 1 species
GAUGAACGCUGGCGGCGUGCCUAAUACAUGCAAGUCGAGCGAACAGACGAGGAGCUUGCUCCUCUGACGUUAGCGGCGGACGGGUGAGUAACACGUGGAUAACCUACCUAUAAGACUGGGAUAACUUCGGGAAACCGGAGCUAAUACCGGAUAAUAUAUUGAACCGCAUGGUUCAAUAGUGAAAGACGGUUUUGCUGUCACUUAUAGAUGGAUCCGCGCCGCAUUAGCUAGUUGGUAAGGUAACGGCUUACCAAGGCAACGAUGCGUAGCCGACCUGAGAGGGUGAUCGGCCACACUAGAACUGAGACACGGUCCAGACUCCUACGGGAGGCAGCAGUAGGGAAUCUUCCGCAAUGGGCGAAAGCCUGACGGAGCAACGCCGCGUGAGUGAUGAAGGUCUUCGGAUCGUAAAACUCUGUUAUUAGGGAAGAACAAAUGUGUAAGUAACUAUGCACGUCUUGACGGUACCUAAUCAGAAAGCCACGGCUAACCACGUG